rnacentral:piRNA from 1 species
UCCAGCGAUCCUUGAACUCUGCCU